GAUGAACGCUGGCGGCGUGCCUAAUACAUGCAAGUCGAGCGAAGCGGGGACGGGUGAGUAACACGUGGAUAACCUCAUAUAAGACUGGGAUAACUUCGGGAAACCGUAGCUAAACCCGAUCCUUAUACAUGGUUCCGGGCUGCAUUAGCUAGUUGGUAAGGUAACGGCUUACAAAGGCAACGAUGCAUAGCCGACCUGAGAGGGUGAUCGGCCACACUGGAACUGAGACACGGUCCAGACUCCUACGGGAGGCAGCAGUGGGGAAUCUUCCACAAUGGGCGAAAGCCUGACGGAGCAACGCCGCGUGAGUGAUGAAGGUCUUCGGAUCGUAAAACUCUGUUAGUUGGGAAGCGGUACCGACUGAGAAAGCCCCGGCUAACUACGUGCCAGCAGCCGCGGUAAUUC
rnacentral:rRNA from 1 species